CAGUUUGAAUAACCACAGUUUGAAUAAUAAAAAUUUCAGCUCAUCAGUUAAUAACACUUUAUUUCAAAACAAAAACGAUUACACAAAUUCUUUUAAUAAUAAAAACAAUAAUGUGCAAAAUAAUUUGUUUUAUCAGCAAAAAACUAGUGACACUAUUAAUGCCAAUAAAAGAGAGGAUACGCUUAAUUUUUUUCAUAACAGUAGGGCAGCAACAACAACAUCAACAACAACAUCAGCAACAACAUCAGCAACAACAUCAGCAGUGACAAAUUUAAACAAUGUGUACCAAAACAACAACAGAACCUACCAACAGAAUCAACGAAUUAUGAAGAGCGAAAGAACUAAUGCGUAUAAUAAUAUAAAUAGUAGUAACUUAGAAAGUUUUUUAAAUAACGAAGAAACACAAAACACAAAUUAUAAUAGAACAAGAUUAGGUGAUACAUAUACGAAUGAAAUUAUGAGCUUACGAAAUAUAACAAAUGAUGAAACGUAUUGUACAUGUCUUGAUAAUUUAUUAAGGAAUCAUGGAAACAUUGAUUGUAAUGAAAUGAUAAAAUAUAAUGACAAAAAUAUUAAUUGUUUAAACGAUAUAAUAUUUUUAGAUGUAUAUAGAGCAUAUAAUGUAUUAACAUAUAUGCAGGAAAAAGUUAAUAUAAUUAUUUAUACUAUAAAAAUCAUUGGAAAAAAAUUAAAAAGAAAACAUGUACCUGAAGAAGUAGUUUUAUCCCUAGAAUUUUUAAACUUCUGUGUUAAAAAUUUAGGAUUAUAUUUUAUUCGAUUUAUUGAUGAAAGUUUUAUGAAAAAAAUAAGAAAUUUGUUAAAAUGUACUACAUUAAAAAAAUCAAUUACAAAAAAUGUAAAAUCGAAAUUAUCCAAAUUUUUUAUUGUUCCUAUUAUACACCCAGGUGUUGCAACAGAUCCCAGAUUACAUUUUAUAAAAAGAAAAAUUUUAUUUAUGUUACAAUUAUGGCAUGAUUCUUUUAUAUUACAUCAACAGAUAGCUAGUGUCUUUUUUUUAGAAUACAGAUCACUAAAAGAAAAAGGAAUCACAUUUCCUAUUAUUAACAAGUCAGAAAAGUUUUUUGUUAAAAAUGCUCAUAUUUCUCCAUCCUUUUCAGAUGACAACAUUUUACAUGAACUACCUCUAAAAUUAACACAAAUUAAUAAUAUUAUGAAAAGUUUAAAAGAAAUAAAAAAUAUGUAUAAUGACAGUGAAAAGGCAAAAUGUAUUACUAUCAUAUCGAAAUAUAAAGAUACUAUAUUACAAUGUAUUAAUAAAUUAUCAGAUUAUACUGGAAACGUUAAUAUAUCUGUAACAUUAAAUUCACUUCUUUAUAUAAAUGAUCAAAUAUGUAUUUUACAGCAGACGGAUAUGAACAAGUUGACUGAUAAGGUCAAACAUGUUGAACCUAAGGAAGUGGAUAAAUCGGUAGAACAUUCCGAACAAUCACAAACAAGUCAAACAACUGAUUGGGACACAUGGGAUGAUGAGGAAAAAAGUGAUGAAUCAACCAAAAAAAAAAAAAAUAAAAAAAAAAUUAAAAAAAAAAAAAAUACAACUUCAUCGAUAAAUAUAAAUGAUAUUAUAUUUAAUACAUAUGAUCCAUGGAAUACUGAACAAGCAAAAAUAAAAGAUGACAAAAUUAACAAUUUUAAAAAUAUAAAUGACAAUCAGAAUGCUUAUGAUCCGUUUUUUAGUGAUCUAACGAACACGUUUAAUAGUACGGCUAUUAAGAAUGUCUCUACGACAUUAGAUUUGAUUUUUGACGACAGUACUACUACCAUUGCUAAUUCUAGUACUACUGGCGGUGCUAAUGCCAGUACUACUAUCGG
ensembl:lncRNA